AGUGAACGCUGGCGGUAGGCCUAACACAUGCAAGUCGAACGGCAGCACAGUAAGAGCUUGCUCUUACGGGUGGCGAGUGGCGGACGGGUGAGGAAUACAUCGGAAUCUACUUUUUCGUGGGGGAUAACGUAGGGAAACUUACGCUAAUACCGCAUACGACCUACGGGUGAAAGCAGGGGAUCUUCGGACCUUGCGCGAUUGAAUGAGCCGAUGUCGGAUUAGCUAGUUGGCGGGGUAAAGGCCCACCAAGGCGACGAUCCGUAGCUGGUCUGAGAGGAUGACCACACACAGUGACAGAGAGACACGGCCCACACUCCUACGGGGGGACGGUGUGGAGACUUUCGGAAUGUGGGAGAGAGCGUGAUCGCGCCAUCCCGCGAGGGUGGAGAAGGCCUUGGGGUUGUAACGCUCUUUUGUGGGGAAAAAAAAGCUGCAAGUAACUACCCCGCUGUUGAGGGGGUCCCAAAAGAAAACGCCCCGUAAAUCCGUG
rnacentral:rRNA from 1 species